AGCCCACCUGUAGUCUCCUACAUCCAUCACCAAUCAGUUCACACCUCACACUUUGUGAAGGUUGAUGGACAAGUCCACCUGAGGACCAUCAGAUAUUUUCAUAUUGUAUUCACAUGGAAUUGUCUUACCCAUAAUCCUUUGUCAUUAUCAUUUGCAUUGCAAAUGCUGUAUUCUUGCAGCUGAUUGGGUAAAAAGGACUCCAGUAUGGCAACAGGUCAGAUAAAGGUCUUAUAAGAGAGAGUGGUGGUCACAGGGAUGCUGUGUAGGUGUAUGUUAUCAACAGGACAACUGUACUGUUCUUUUGGUCAUGUACAUACAUUUUGUUACUUUAAACUAAAGGAAAGUUCAGGAGGAUUUCUUUGGCACAGCAGAACUUCAGUCUGAAAUGGCAGAACCAGCAAUACCAGUGAAGAAGAUCAAAGAAGAAGACUUUGAUAAUUUCCUCCGUGAACAUAUUUUGGCCAGUAAAUUGGAAGAUAAGACUGUACUGGAACAUGACUUUAAGACAGAGACAGAAACAUCAUCAACCUGUAGAGAAGAGGAGUUCACACCAGUGGAAAGUAAAGAGGAAAACGAUUCUGAUUCUGGAGAAAAUGAUGACCAUAAUGACUCCUCUACUACAAGAGCAGUCCAAAUGAUCACAGCUGGUAAGAGUACCGUUGCUGGUUCAGAUAUCAACCCAAAUAA